GGUGGAUCCAAUGAUCUAACAUCAUAUGUAGUGUUUGCAUCAUAUGUGGUGAUCUAACAUCAUAUGUGGUGAUCUAACAUCAUAUGUGGUGAUCUAACAUCAUAUGUGGUGAUCUUACAUCAUAUGUGGUGAUCUAACAUCAUAUGUGGUGAUCUAACAUCAUAUGUGGUGUUUGCAUCAUAUGUGGUGAUCUAACAUCAUAUGUGGUGUUUGCAUCAUAUGUGGUGAUCUAACAUCAUAUGUGGUGAUCUAACAUCAUAUGUGGUGAUCUGACAUCAUAUGUGGUGUUUGCAUCAUAUGUGGUGAUCUAACAUCAUAUGUGGU
ensembl:lncRNA